UGCCCAGAGGAGGCGGAGAUGUCCCAUCCCUGGAGGUGUUCAAGGCCAGGUUGGAUGGGGCUUUGAGCAACCUGAUCCAGUAGGAGGGGUCCCUGCCGGUGGUAAAGGAGGUUGGAACUGGGUAGGCUUUCAAGUCCCUCCAAUCCAAACCAUUCCAUGACUCUAAAAGAGGGUGAAAUGCUAACUUUGGUGAAAAAUUUGGGCUUCAGCCCUGGAUCCUGUAGCAAGUCCUCUGAGUACUUCUUGGUAAGAGCAUAGCUAAAGCUGGGUAGACUCUUGGCACCCAGGGGAAACACUUUCCUGCUUGGAUUUGUGCUGCGUUUUGCAGUGGAUCAGUACAUGAAGCUCUCUCCUUUACAUCAGCAGAAAUUUCACGUGUGGAAAUUCAAGAGCCGGGUUGUUGCAGCCAAGACUGAACGCUGGGUCUGAGCCCUCCUGCUGUGGCAGCUGUCCCUCUGCCCACAAAGCAGAUGCACACCCUGGUUUGGGGCGCAUGGACUCCAGACCAGCACUGGCUCAGGAGAUCAACAUCUUAUUUCCCUGCUUGUCAUUUGCUGUUUUCUGUUCUCCUGCGGGCUGCAUGCAGACAGAUCCUUGAUAAAGAGAAUGGAGCGGUGCCUGCUGAGAUAAAGCUUGCAGCCUGUAGGUACUGUAUCCCCCUUGCAGACACGAGCUUGGGCCGUGAAGAUCUGUGGGGAGGCAGGACAGGCAGAAGAAACCUAUGGGCCACAGUUGCUUGAGGAGAAAGGCGGCUGCGGAGCCAACUGAGUGCCUGGCAUGAGGCAGCAGAGCUGGGAUGCUCUGCCUUCAGCCACCCUCUCUUCCUCGUCACAGAGCGUUCAGAUUCUGUUGCACGCAAGAUAGCUCUAUUUUUACUGGCAAAAAGACAACCAUACAAAAUAAAGUCUCUUCAACUCUCUUUGUCUGUCUUCCUAAUGAACUUCAAGUCAUUAAGAUUGAGGAUGAGGUGCACACUUGCCAAUUUCCAAUGCAGAUCAUUUUUCAGAAAGCAAAAGCUUCUGUUCUUUUUCUUCAGAAGGAUAAGUGAAAUGUGCCUAUACUGGGACAAGAGACUAUAAACGAAGCUGAAAUAAUGAAAGAUCACUCAAAAAUUAUCCACGCUUCAGAAAUAUUUCCACUUGCAUUUGUAACGCUGAAGGAAGUAGAGUUUUAUGUAAGAAACAGGCUGCAGAAUAAGGACAUCUAUGUCCCAGUCCUAUCUCUGACCUAAACUUCUAAAUAA